rnacentral:lncRNA from 1 species
UAGACUUCAGAGAAAUCAGAUUAUGCUGGUGAGAAUUACAUGCUUAUGUCACUCUCUGCCUGGUGCUUCCUUUUAACUUGUUAUUUAAUCUUCAAAUCUCUUAAAGGGGGAAAAAGAUCUGGUACUGAUAAUUUUGCUCAAAUAGAAAAGGAGAAGAAUGGUUAAAGCCAGGCCACACUGCUAUCUUUAUUUAGACGUCAACAAACAGUCACACAAAAUGACAAGUUGUUCUUGAAACUCAGCCAAAUCUUCAAGAAGCAUGCAUAAGCAGGCUUUGAAGAUAAGGAGAGGAGGAAAGGGAAUACAGAUCUCCACGACUAUAUGCACCAGUAUUUGAACUGGGACACAACAACAUUUCUGUUACCAGUAGGUCAUGAGCUAACUGCUUACAAGAACUGCAACAAAAAUGAAUUUCCCUGCCUAGCAGAAACAGAAGACAUCAGACUUUUUAAUGUACUACCCAAGGGGGAAAUCUCCAUGCCACAAAACACAUCAUAUGUCUCCACGUAACUGGAGCAGAGAUUUACUUUUUCACUGUUCACUCUUUCACGAAGAUGGAAUGCUUGAGCAAGCCUGAAGCAUGUCACAGCUGAAGGCUGACAUGCAAAACAGCAGUUGUGAGAAAAGAUCCUGGACCAAUCUGGAAACUGAGCAGUGAAACCUUGCUCUUUGUCAGAAAAUUUAGCAGAACAGGCAGUUGUCACUAUACAACACUCAAGGAGCUAGAGCCUCCCUAAAAGUAGAGUGGAGUGCCCCCCAAGAUGAAAAGAGACAACAGAAGAUGUUGGUUUCUAAGCAAAACCUUCUACCUCUAUCUGCAGUAUGUAUCCCCUGGAGGCUGGGGAUUGAUUUGGGUCAAUUCAAUUUAUCUCUGGCUUUUCUGCUUCUUCUGGAUUUAAAAUAAAAAAAAAAAAAAGAGGAAUAAAUAUUACUUU